rnacentral:tRNA from 1 species
GCUCAGUUGGUAGAGCAUGGCGCUCGUAACAUCAAGGUUGUGGGUUCGAGUCCCAC